AUCGCCGGGUUUCUCUUCAUCUCGCAUAAAUCUUUAGCCUUUUACUAAAGAUUUCAGUGAGGGGAACUGCCCUGAGUUUACGGUAUUUUGAAGCUCUCUUCCGGCGAGCU